rnacentral:rRNA from 1 species
UACGUAGGGGCAAGCGUUGUCCGGAUUUAUUGGGCGUAAAGAGCGUGUAGGCGGCCUUACAGGUCAGCUGUGAAAACUCGAGGCUCAACCUCGAGACGUCGGUUGAAACCGUAUGGCUAGAGUCCGGAAGAGGAGAGUGGAAUUCCCGGUGUAGCGGUGAAAUGCGCAGAUAUCGGGAAGAACACCCGUGGCGAAGGCGGCUCUCUGGGACGGUACUGACGCUGAGACGGCGAAAGCGUGGGGAGCGAACAGG